UCAUGCCUCAGAUUGAACGCUGGCGGCAGGCCUAACACAUGCAAGUCGAACGUAACAGGAAGCAGCUUGCUGCUUCGCUGACGAGUGGCGGACGGGUGAGUAAUGUCUGGGAAACUGCCUGAUGGAGGGGGAUAACUACUGGAAACGGUAGCUAAUACCGCAUAACGUCGCAAGACCAAAGAGGGGGACCUUAGGGCCUCUUGCCAUCGGAUGUGCCCAGAUGGGAUUAGCUAGUAGGUGGGGUAACGGCUCACCUAGGCGACGAUCCCUAGCUGGUCUGAGAGGAUGACCAGCCACACUGGAACUGAGACACGGUCCAGACUCCUACGGGAGGCAGCAGUGGGGAAUAUUGCACAAUGGGCGCAAGCCUGAUGCAGCCAUGCCGCGUGUAUGAAGAAGGCCUUCGGGUUGUAAAGUACUUUCAGCGGGGAGGAAGGGAGUAAAGUUAAUACCUUUGCUCAUUGACGUUACCCGCAGAAGAAGCACCGGCUAACUCCGUGCCAGCAGCCGCGGUAAUACGGAGGGUGCAAGCGUUAAUCGGAAUUACUGGGCGUAAAGCGCACGCAGGCGGUUUGUUAAGUCAGAUGUGAAAUCCCCGGGCUCAACCUGGGAACUGCAUCUGAUACUGGCAAGCUUGAGUCUCGUAGAGGGGGGUAGAAUUCCAGGUGUAGCGGUGAAAUGCGUAGAGAUCUGGAGGAAUACCGGUGGCGAAGGCGGCCCCCUGGACGAAGACUGACGCUCAGGUGCGAAAGCGUGGGGAGCAAACAGGAUUAGAUACCCUGGUAGUCCACGCCGUAAACGAUGUCGACUUGGAGGUUGUGCCCUUGAGGCGUGGCUUCCGGAGCUAACGCGUUAAGUCGACCGCCUGGGGAGUACGGCCGCAAGGUUAAAACUCAAAUGAAUUGACGGGGGCCCGCACAAGCGGUGGAGCAUGUGGUUUAAUUCGAUGCAACGCGAAGAACCUUACCUGGUCUUGACAUCCACGGAAGUUUUCAGAGAUGAGAAUGUGCCUUCGGGAACCGUGAGACAGGUGCUGCAUGGCUGUCGUCAGCUCGUGUUGUGAAAUGUUGGGUUAAGUCCCGCAACGAGCGCAACCCUUAUCCUUUGUUGCCAGCGGUCCGGCCGGGAACUCAAAGGAGACUGCCAGUGAUAAACUGGAGGAAGGUGGGGAUGACGUCAAGUCAUCGUGGCCCUUACGACCAGGGCUACACACGUGCUACAAUGGCGCAUACAAAGAGAAGCGACCUCGCGAGAGCAAGCGGACCUCAUAAAGUGCGUCGUAGUCCGGAUUGGAGUCUGCAACUCGACUCCAUGAAGUCGGAAUCGCUAGUAAUCGUGGAUCAGAAUGCCACGGUGAAUACGUUCCCGGGCCUUGUACACACCGCCCGUCACACCAUGGGAGUGGGUUGCAAAAGAAGUAGGUAGCUUAACCUUCGGGAGGGCGCUUACCACUUUGUGAUUCAUGACUGGGGUGAAGUCGUAACAAGGUAACCGU
rnacentral:rRNA from 1 species